rnacentral:rRNA from 1 species
UACGGGGGAGGCAGCGUUGUCGGAAUUACUGGGCGUAAAGGGCUCGUAGGCGGCCAACUAAGUCCGACGUGAAAUCCCAAGGCUUAACCUUGGAACUGCGUCGGAUACUGGAUGGCUUGAAUUCGGGAGAGGGAUGCAGAAUUCCAGGUGUAGCGGUGAAAUGCGUAGAUAUCUGGAGGAAUACCGGUGGCGAAGGCGGCAUCCUGGACCGACAUUGACGCUGAUGAGCGAAAGCUAGGGGAGCAAACGGG